rnacentral:rRNA from 1 species
UUAGGAAUCUUCCACAAUGGGCGAAAGCCUGAUGGAGCGACGCCGCGUGAGGGAUGAAGGCCUUAGGGUUGUAAACCUCUAAAAGAGGGACGAUAAUGACGGUACCUCUUGAAUAGCACCGGCUAACUCCGUGCCAGCAGCCGCGGUAAUACGGAGGGUGCAAGCGUUAUCCGGAAUCACUGGGCGUAAAGGGCGCGUAGGCGGGCUGUUAAGUCCGAUGUUAAAUCCCGGGGCUCAACCCCGGAUCAGCGUUGGAUACUGGCAGGCUAGACGGUUGGAGANGCGAGUGGAAUUACCAGUGUAGCGGUGAAAUGCGUAGAUACUGGUAGGAACACCCAUUGCGAAGGCAGCUCGCUGGAAAACACGUGACGCUGAGGCGCGAAAGUGUGGGGAGCAAAC